GAUGAACGCUAGCUACAGGCUUAACACAUGCAAGUCGAGGGACAGGCGCACGGGUGAGUCACACGUAUCCAACCUGCCCUUUACUCGGGGAUAGCCUUUCGAAAGACAGAUUAAUACCCGAUAUAAAGGAUGGGGAUGCGUUCCAUUAGGUUGGUGGUGAGGUAACGGAUCACCAAGCCUUCGAUGGAUAGGGGUUCUGUGAGGAAGGUGUCUGACAUGGGAACUGGGACACGGUCCAAAACCCUAGGAGAGGCAGCAGUGAUGUGUAUUAGUCAAUGGUGGCUAGCCUGAGCCAGCCGAGUAGCGUGAAGGAUGAAGGGUUAUAGGACGUAAACUUCGUUUAUAUAAGAAUGUGUAUUAUAUGAAUAAGGAUCGGAUAACUCCGUGCCAGCCGCCGCGGUAAUUC
rnacentral:rRNA from 1 species